CGAAGCGAAGGGGGUUGAGGCGGUUGGGGAGGGUGCUGGGUGUUUGGGAAUGGCACAGAUGAACUUGGUGACCAAGUGGAAUGACGCAAAUCAAAACAGACAAACAGACAGGAAGGCAGGCGGACAGACAUAACAGCUGGCCAAUGUCGGGGCGGAGCAGAGACCGAACAGGGGUACUGGAUGCCUGCACGUCUGACGUGGACCCUUACUGCUGGAGCUGUUGCAUAACAUGAAGGUUUUUAAUGGGGAAGGACUGCACUCUGCAGACUGGAACAGAGCAACAAGAGUUUAACACACACUUGAGGGUAAAGAAAGUCAGUGUGGCCAGAGAUGGCUUAGUGGUUCCUGGCUUUGGAGCUACAUUGCUUGCCUGAGUGAAAGAAAGGCCACCCAAAAGAGAACAAAGCGAGAGAAUGAGGAAAAGCAGAACUUCUUUAUCUCUGGGUUCCUCCCAAAAUUCUUAUAGGUUGCCCAAAUAAUGACAUGUAAUCUUGGUUUUCUUCUAAAUUUCUCACAUUAGUUCCUUUGUUACCCUGACCCAGUGUAAAUAAACACCAGUGAAAGCUAUA